rnacentral:rRNA from 1 species
CAGCAGCCGCGGGAAUACGUAGGGUGCAAGCGUUAAUCGGAAUUACUGGGCGUAAAGCGUGCGCAGGCGGUUUUGUAAGUCUGUCGUGAAAUCCCCGGGCUCAACCUGGGAAUGGCGAUGGAGACUGCAAGGCUAGAAUCUGGCAGAGGGGGGUAGAAUUCCACGUGUAGCAGUGAAAUGCGUAGAUAUGUGGAGGAACACCGAUGGCGAAGGCAGCCCCCUGGGCUAAGAUUGACGCUCAUGCACGAAAGCGGGGGGAGCAAACAGGAUUAGAUACCCCCGUAGUCCCUGUCUCUUAUAC